AGCAGCCGCGGUAAUUCCAGCUCCAAUAGCGUAUAUUAAAGUUGUUGCAGUUAAAAAGCUCGUAGUUGAAUUUCGGGAUUAAUUUAUUGGUCGUGCUAUUGUACGUACUGGUAUUAUUGAUUCCUACCUUCUGACGAACCACGAUGUCAUUAAUUUGGUGUCAUGGGGAAUCAGGACUGUUACUUUGAAAAAAUUAGAGUGUUUAAAGCAGGCUCACGCUUGAAUACAUUAGCAUGGAAUAACGAAAUAGGACGUUUGAUUCUAUUUUGUUGGUUUCUAGGAUCGACGUAAUGAUUAAUAGGGAUAGUUGGGGGCAUUAGUAUUCAAUUGUCAGAGGUGAAAUUCUUGGAUUUAUUGAAGACUAACUACUGCGAAAGCAUUUGCCAAGGAUGUUUCCAUUAAUCAAGAACGAAAGUUAGGGGAUCGAAGACGAUCAGAUACCGUCGUAGU
rnacentral:rRNA from 1 species